rnacentral:rRNA from 1 species
GAUGAACGCUGGCGGCGUGCCUAAUACAUGCAAGUCGAGCGAACAGAUAAGGAGCUUGCUCCUUUGAAGUUAGCGGCGGACGGGUGAGUAACACGUGGGUAACCUACCUAUAAGACUGGGAUAACUUCGGGAAACCGGAGCUAAUACCGGAUAACAUUUAGAACCGCAUGGUUCUAAAGUGAAAGAUGGUUUUGCUAUCACUUAUAGAUGGACCCGCGCCGUAUUAGCUAGUUGGUAAGGUAACGGCUUACCAAGGCGACGAUACGUAGCCGACCUGAGAGGGUGAUCGGCCACACUGGAACUGAGACACGGUCCAGACUCCUACGGGAGGCAGCAGUAGGGAAUCUUCCGCAAUGGGCGAAAGCCUGACGGAGCAACGCCGCGUGAGUGAUGAAGGGUUUCGGCUCGUAAAACUCUGUUAUUAGGGAAGAACAAAUGUGUAAGUAACUGUGCACAUCUUGACGGUACCUAAUCAGAAAGCCACGGCUAACUACGUGCCAGCAGCCGCGGUAAUACGUAGGUGGCAAGCGUUAUCCGGAAUUAUUGGGCGUAGAGCGCGCGUAGGCGGUUUCUUAAGUCUGAUGUGAAAGCCCACGGCUCAACCGUGGAGGGUCAUUGGAAACUGGGAAACUUGAGUGCAGAAGAGGAAAGUGGAAUUCCAUGUGUAGCGGUGAAAUGCGCAGAGAUAUGGAGGAACACCAGUGGCGAAGGCGACUUUCUGGUCUGUAACUGACGCUGAUGUGCGAAAGCGUGGGGAUCAAACAGGAUUAGAUACCCUGGUAGUCCACGCCGUAAACGAUGAGUGCUAAGUGUUAGGGGGUUUCCGCCCCUUAGUGCUGCAGCUAACGCAUUAAGCACUCCGCCUGGGGAGUACGACCGCAAGGUUGAAACUCAAAGGAAUUGACGGGGACCCGCACAAGCGGUGGAGCAUGUGGUUUAAUUCGAAGCAACGCGAAGAACCUUACCAAAUCUUGACAUCCUUUGAAAACUCUAGAGAUAGAGCCUUCCCCUUCGGGGGACAAAGUGACAGGUGGUGCAUGGUUGUCGUCAGCUCGUGUCGUGAGAUGUUGGGUUAAGUCCCGCAACGAGCGCAACCCUUAAGCUUAGUUGCCAUCAUUAAGUUGGGCACUCUAGGUUGACUGCCGGUGACAAACCGGAGGAAGGUGGGGAUGACGUCAAAUCAUCAUGCCCUUAUGAUUUGGGCUACACACGUGCUACAAUGGACAAUACAAAGGGCAGCUAAACCGCGAGGUCAUGCAAAUCCCAUAAAGUUGUUCUCAGUUCGGAUUGUAGUCUGCAACUCGACUACAUGAAGCUGGAAUCGCUAGUAAUCGUAGAUCAGCAUGCUACGGUGAAUACGUUCCCGGGUCU